CACUUGGUGAUUGUGAGCCAGCACCAAGAUCGAAGGCAUUUGGAUCCCUGGUGAUCACAGACCCAGCAUGUCAUCUCUGCAAAGCUUCCCAGAAAGUGUGGAAUAUUGGCCUUCCUUUUCAGAUUCAUGUGAAAGCUUGGAGAAAAGAACACAGACUAAAAGGAAUAUAAAUCCAAAAGAAUGAGUGAAAUGGGAAUACACAAGGCAUGAGCAAUAAGACUGUUCUCUCAGAAACAAUGAGAAUAACUGCUCUACAUCUUACAAACCAG
rnacentral:lncRNA from 1 species